CCUGUUUGCUUCCUUAUUUGUUCCUGUGUCCCCUUCCCUAGAACGUCAACCACACCAGCUCGUCCCCUGUUGUGUCCCCAGUGCCUAGAAGAGGGGCUGACACCGGUAGUUUGUUGCACGAAUAAAGGAAUUCACAGGGAGGCCCAUGUGGCCCGAUGGGGUGAGGGAGGAAGCUGCUGGGGGGCCCGGGGGGAGCACAGGCAGGUGGUUGGCCGCCCGCAGCCAGGGCGCUGGGCAGCCACUGCGGUUUCAAGCCAAGGGGAGAUGCCGCCCGACGGCAGCCUGCAGGCCCCUGGCUGCAGCUGCAGAACAGGCUGGGGGAGGGGGGUGCUGGCAUAGAGGGCGCACGGUGCCCGUGGCGCUUUCAUACUGCGGGUGGUGUGACGGAGCGCUUGCCACAGAGGCGUCAGGCCCCCAAGGUCGAGGGACCUACUGUGCCCUUCGCAGGAGGGGCACGCCAGCCCCUGGCCCAGGGCCCCACCGUAGGAAGCUGGAAAGUCAACCCAGAGCACGUGGAAAUCAGUGAGGCAGAAAUGCACAAAUGAGGGGGCUCCUGGAGCGAAGGGCCUGCGAGUCUGGGUCCCGAGGCCGCCAGGUCGAGCCCCACGUUGGGUGUCGAGAUUACUGACCUUAAGAAAACUUCUAAAAAAGUUUUUGAUGCACAACAGAGAAAAACCAGUGAACCCCAAAGCUGGUCCUUUUAUUUAUUUAUUUUUUUAAGUUUACUUUGAGAGAGAGAAGUGGGGGGGGGGGGGGGAGGGGCAGAGAGAGGGAGAGCGAGCAUCCCAAGCAGGCUCCGUGCUGUCAGAGCAAAGCCCUGCAACGGGCCUCGAACCCCCCGAAGCCUGAGAUGGAGGCCUGAGCCCAAGUCAGGUGCUUAACCCACUGAGCCACCCAGGUGCCCCUGGUUCUUUUAAAAGUUAAAUAAAAUUGAUGCUUCUGCUGAGCACCGAGCAUAGAACUGUUCAGUCACCGUACUGUGUCCCUGAAACUAACAGAACACUGUACUAACUGUGCUGGGAUUAAAAUAAAAACUUAAUUAAGAAACUUAAAAAAAAAAAUACUUCGGGGCGCCUGGGUGGCUCAGUCGGUUGGGUGACCGACUCCGACUCCGGUCACGAUCUCGCGGUUCGGUGAGUUCGGGCCCGCGUCCGGCUCUGACAGCUCGGAGCCUGGAUCCUGCUUCGGAUUCUGUGUCUCCUUCUCUCUCUGCCCCUCCCCCACUUGUGCUCUCACUCUGUCUCUCAAAAAUCAGUAACUGUAAAAAAAAAAAAAAAUUCUUUUAAAUAAAAACAUAUUAAGAAACAAGUUAAAUAAAAUUGAAUGAAACGUGUGUGGUGGGGGUGGUUCUGGUUUCCGACCGCGGCCACGUGACCUUGGCAACAUCACCGGCCCCUCCCCGAGUCUCAGUUUCCUCAUCUGUAAGAUGGGGUUGGCAGGAGCCGCUGCCUGCUAGCAUCGCAGGAAGGAGUAAACGGGUUUGUCUGUGACAACAUCCCGGCGCAUCAUAAGUGCGCAAAGAGCUGUGUGGUUACAGGGCGCCUGCUGUGUGCACGCUCGUUUAUACAUCUGAGGCACAGAUGGAUUGGGAAAGCUUUCAAAUCUUUUCUUGAACGUGCCUUAGGGGACAAAGCAUAGCGAGCCUCCCCUCCCCCGCCACGACAUGUGAGUUUACAGAUGUUCGUACCGAAAAUGACCCCGAGUUUUAAAAUAAAGACGAGUUUGUUACAAUUUGUAACCGAGAUGAAAUUCACCAUUCCAAAGCGGACAUACAGUUCAGUGGCUUUCACUGUAGUCACAAGGUUGUGCAACCAUCACCGCGAUCCGAUUCCAGAAAUAAAAAAGGGAGCUGGGGGGUAAUCUUAAAGCCUGUUUAAAGAAAAAUACUAAAUGACUCGACAAAUAGAAAAGACCUUCAAGAAGAGGGCAGAUGGCCAGCAAAGAACCUGCGGGACAGGAGACAGGUGAGCAAGGGGGAUGGGCGGGCUGACGCCAGAGCACGUCAGAUCCCACGUGACAGAGGGGCUCCGACACAGCGACCCGCAAGGGAUGGGGCGGGCAUGUGGCGCCAGGCCGGCUUGCCAACCUCCAGUGCCCAGGUCCCCGCAGAGGAGGGGCGUGGGGUUCGCAGGGCGGGGACAGGCAGAGAGCCCGAUAAGAGGUCUGAGGGCCCCCCGGGGGAGCGUCAGGGAAGACAGGAGAUGGGGCCAGCCCCCCAACCCCCACCCCCAGAGGAGGAAUGCUCUUCGGUUCCAGGCAGGGGAGAACCCGGAAUCACUGUCCCAUGGCGACCCCUGGUGGCGCAGAACGCUCACUGCAGCGCUUUCUGGAUUUCACCCCCCCCCGCCCCCCCAUAAACGCAGGAUCCUGUUCUGGGGGGAAGGGGGCGCCACAUACAGGACACAGGUGCUGUACUCAGGUCGACCACACUGGCUCCUCCCCAUCCUUCAGAGUCUUUGCAUGGACUGUACCCUCCGCCUGCAGUAGCCUUUCCUUCUUGGAAUGCCUCCUCCAGGAAGCCUCCCAUGACCGCCCCCAACCCCAAGGCCCCCACAGUGGCCUCUGCGUCCCCCGUCACACCCAGGACCACCCCGGCUGCAGCCACCUAGUGGCGCGUCUGUCUUCCCCACAGAGCCGUGAGCCCCGUGGGGAACAUGGAACAAAGAGAUUGGCUGCAAGAUAGAAAGGUUGGCACAUUCGUUCAAAUUCAUGUAUUGAGCCUCUGCUGUGUGCCAGCUACUGGGGUCCAGCAGGGAACUCACCAGAUAAAAUUCCCAUCCUCAUGGGGAAGGCAGAUGAUAAACCAGGUGUUCAAUGAAUAAGUGACAUUAUUACUAUCAUUAGUCUAAAAACGCUGAGCAUUAGGGAACAAUAGAGCAGUGUGGGGGAGGAUGGGGGGAUCUGGUGGAUGUGGUUGUAAAUUAUUUUAAAUGGGAGGCUCAGAGAAGCUUGCCCUGGGAGGAUGGCAUUUGAGCAAAUAUCUGGAGGAGGUGAGCGAGGAGCUAUGUAGACAUUUGAAGGAAGGGCAUUUCAAGCAGCGGGAACAGCCCACGUGAAGGUCCUGGGGCAGGACCACACCUGGCGGGUCGAGGCCCAUGUGGCUCGCACAGGCUAGGCUAGGGGGAAAGACGGAGGAGGGGACAGCAGGUCGUGCAAAGCCUUGGGGGCCCGCGGGGAGGACUUCGGCUCCCCCCCCCCCCCCAAAGAGGUGGGAGCCCUGAAGGGCUGCGUCACAGGAGGUGCUGACAGGCGCCCUCUGGUGGGACAGCCAAAAUGCGCUGGAGACGCAGGGGAUGUGCAAGAUUCAAACUCAAAGCCCCUCAAGUUCUGCCCAGGCCCAGUGGCAGCCACGCAUGCGCUGUGUGACACUGGGCAAUGCAUUGCCCUCUCUGGGCCCAGGGAGCGGGAGAAAUUUGUACAAGAUCUAACCAUCUCGGAAAGACACCGUUCCAAGCAGGGACACCGCUAAGAACCUCCGAAAAUAAAUCAUCUGUUAUUGA